GGCAGGUAAAUCUGCUUCAUCUUCUUAAGCUUCUUGCUCUGCUCCUUGAAGAUGGCCGGAUACACCGAGAAGAUGUCCGCCAAACUCAGGAAAAACAAUUGGUUGGACAUGUCUUUGGGGGCUUUCGGGGGAAAUCAGUUUUUGAAUAUUUAUUGUAGGGGGUUUUUGUUCCAAUUUGGAUUUGGCGCAACUUUAAAACAAUUAAAUUUUGUAUAACAUGCUAUAAAAACACUAUCUGCCGAUCUACAUAAUUUUCACGAUCGGAUAAUUACAGUGACCUGAAUCACAAGCCCAUCACUCCGAAAAGUUGAGUCACAGUUUAUAAAGUUUUUUUUAAACUUUUGUUAGAUAGUUUGAAGGUUGAACGGAUAAAAAGGACACUCGGAUACAGGACACCGUUUAAGGAAACAAUAAAAAGAGCACUGCCACCAGCUACUUAUCCGAACCGAGCACUUGGAGUGAACAACAGCAACUGGAUGAGCAGGUGGCUCCUCCUUACGUUGGCGUGUCUUUCAUCUCCCUUUUUGGGGGAGCCUUGAGCCUUGGGCCCCUCCUCCUGUCAAUUGCUCCCCCGCCCCCUCCUCCAAUGACAAUGACAACUGCUGAUUUUCAUUCUCGUUCUCUCAUUUUCAUUUCCAUUUCCAUUUUCAUUUCAAUUCCAGCUACCGUUCGGUUCGUGCUUAACACCAAUUCAAUGCUGGGAGCCCUCUGUUUCUGUUUCUGUUUCCAAAUCGACGGCGCUGCAUGCUCCAUGGAAUUACUUAUCUAUCUCUUGCACUCCCAACCUUCCAACCCACCCACCGAUCCACCUGUCGAGCCCACCUCUCGCUUCCACCCACCUGUCGCCGCAUGCAAUGUUGCACGCCAAUAUAGAGGCGCCCCUCCAUUCUAACUGCCUGGGAAACCAAAAAAAAAAAAGAUGAAGUAUGUUUGCCGCAAAGGACAAAUUAAAUGUUACGGUUACGCUUCUCAGGAUAUACAGAUUGGGUUGAAAUAAUAGCAACUCGGGAGUAUAAUUCCAAAUCAAAGUAACUCUUAAAGCCAAUCUAGCCAAGAUUAGAUUAUCUGGCAAUUAAAAAGAAAUAAUCAAGUUUUAAAUUAUUAUACCAAUAUUCUGAUUACUACUAUUAACUAAUGAACACUAUUUUUCCAUCAACAACUGUAGUAUUUUAGCUGUAUGGCCAAUAUAUAGAUGGAUAGAAACGAUAUCACACUUACCUUUUAUUUUUUACGGCCCAGUCCCAUACCCAUUCCCAUUCCCAGUCCCAGUCCCAGUCUGGCGUAAUAAAUUCCGUUUGCCAUAUUCGCAUGAUUUGCUCUGAUUGGAAUAUUUCUUCAAUAAAUUGCCAGUUGCCAGAAAUGUCGCUGAUAUAAAGGAUGAGGGGCGCUGCUAUAACCUGGGCCUAGGCCUGUCAUUCUUUGAUGUGUUUGCCUUGAUUAGUUGGGGGGGGGGGGGACUUAGAGCCCAAAACCCCCAUUUAAUGUCUGAUGGCUUCGAAGCGUUCGAAUCGAACAUAAAAUUAAAUGUUGAUUAGACAACUUUCCGUAACUUCACUAAAUUGUGGGGUGGCGGGAAAUUUAUUGGCCUAGGUCAAAUAUCGAUUAUCGCCCGUCACUAGACCGUUAUUUUGGGUCAGAUUGAAUCGAAUGUCAAUUUGAUUGGCAUUUCUGGGAUAUACAACAGUCUAUAUACUCCUCCGGAGAGUCUCCUUUGUGACCUUGAGAGCCGGAGAAACUUUCGAUUAUUGUGUUUACGAUUUCAUUCCGGCACUCGGUUCGGCAUAAUUGAAUUGCUUUCAGUUGGCUUUGGUUAACUCCUUAACUGAGAUCAAUUAUAAUUGGAAAAAAUCAUAUCAAUUAAAAGUGCCCCAAUCUGAUUCAUCUAGCCUGAUUGGCGAUGACCGCACAAAAAAAAAACAAAAACUACGGGGGCUAUCGAGGAAAUAUACGGCCGGGACGAGUGCGGCCAAGUACUAUGACUGUUAGAUAUGAAUAAGCAAACUUGAAUUAGAGUUAUCACGGGGCAUAUGUCCAAAGAUAACUCGAGUGUCAUAAUUAAAUUUUUCUCUGUUUCCCUUAUACCCGUAGUAGCCUUUUGCUUCACACCGUAAGCCACCCCGGCUUAAAGUCGACCGAUGCGACGACUUCUUUAUCGAGACACCCGGACCCGGGUAUACCCGGGUAUGUGUCGUAAAUCAGGGGGUAGUAUUUUGGGGCUUUGUUGUGUUUUGUUUUUUUUAUUUAUUUUUUGUUUUUUGUUUUUUUUUUUUUAUUAAGAAGCAUAUUUAUUAUAUAUAAGAUGUAUGUAAUACAAUAAUUUUUCUUUCUGUCCUGGUUUUUUUUCGGAUUCUUUCAUCUCUUUUAUGGUUUCGGUUUCAUUUCGGUUUAUCGUUUAUCGUUUUCAUUUUGUUUUGUUUAUAUCCAUUUUAUAUAAUCAUAUAAAACACUGAGCUACAAUACAAAUAUUUUGAUAAAAACUUACAACAUAACCUUUAAUACAUAAAAAUACUUGCGUAGUCUACAAAUCGUAUCGUUAUAGAGAUUUAUUCUGCAUUCUGCUUCGUCUUGCUCUGGCUCUGGCUCUGGGUCUUCUCGGAUCGAUCGAUCGGAUUCUCCUGGUUCUUCAUUCUUUUUUUUUUUUUUCAUUUUUUUCUUCAUUGACCUUCCCCUAAAUUGUUCGGACUGCUUCGGUCGCGCCUGAAUGGAUUCUGUAUUUGUUCUUCUCGAUUUAUUUCAUUUCUCCUUAUAGUUGUGUGAGUUUAACCCUAUUAAAAGAUUUCAUUCAUUCUCCAUCUGCUGCUGGGGCUCUGGCUGUUGUUCUUCCACGACAGAAACAGAAGGUUCGCGAUAACACAAAAAAAAAGACAAGGACCACAAGGAUAAAAAACACCGAGAAAUCCGUGAACGAGGGAGGCCGACUGGAUGAGGGAGAAAGUGUGAUAGUGAGAGAGAGAGUGUCGAAGAAAGCCCUCCCAGAAGACUGUUCUUCUUCUUCGCCAAUUAGCACGAGUUGUUCUUCCGCUUCCUCCUCUUCCUUAGAUGUUUUUUUUUUUUGUGUUUUCUAUGAGUUUGUUGUUUUGUUUUGUUCUUGUUGUUGUUUGCAGCGUUUUAAUUACAAUACAAAUUAUGUUUAUAAUUAUAUAUAUAUUUGCAUAAUCCAUAUAAUUAAAUUAAAUCGUAUAAAACACAAGACAGUAGAAAAAUAAAUGAGGCGUACAUAAUUUUGUUCAGUGGACGUACCAAAAAAUGUUGAAACAUCGAUAAAGCAACGCUCUGAGCAUUUCAUACGAAAAGGAUUUUGGUUAGCAAAAUCAUAAUACACAAUACAAUUACAAUAAUAUUUAUAGAAAUAAAAUAUAAUAAAAAAAAAAAAAAAA